rnacentral:hammerhead_ribozyme from 1 species
AUCCAUUUGACGAGUCUCAAAUAGGACGAAACGCGCAUCCUGGAU